AAGUCGAGCGGAAGGCCCUUCGGGGUACUCGAGCGGCGAACGGGUGAGUAACACGUGAGUAACCUGCCCCUGACUCUGGGAUAAGCCCGGGAAACUGGGUCUAAUACCGGAUACGACCACUUCAGGCAUCUGAUGGUGGUGGAAAGAUUUCUCGGUUGGGGAUGGGCUCGCGGCCUAUCAGCUUGUUGGUGGGGUAGUGGCCUACCAAGGCGACGACGGGUAGCCGGCCUGAGAGGGCGACCGGCCACACUGGGACUGAGACACGGCCCAGACUCCUACGGGAGGCAGCAGUGGGGAAUAUUGCGCAAUGGGCGGAAGCCUGACGCAGCGACGCCGCGUGGGGGAUGACGGCCUUCGGGUUGUAAACCUCUUUCAGCAGGGACGAAGUUGACGUGUACCUGCAGAAGAAGCGCCGGCUAACUACGUGCCAGCAGCCGCGGUAAUACGUAGGGCGCAAGCGUUGUCCGGAAUUAUUGGGCGUAAAGAGCUCGUAGGUGGCUGGUCGCGUCUGCCGUGAAAGCCCGCAGCUUAACUGCGGGUCUGCGGUGGAUACGGGCCGGCUAGAGGUAGGCAGGGGCAAGUGGAAUUCCUGGUGUAGCGGUGAAAUGCGCAGAUAUCAGGAGGAACACCGGUGGCGAAGGCGGCUUGCUGGGCCUUACCUGACGCUGAGGAGCGAAAGCGUGGGGAGCGAACAGGAUUAGAUACCCUGGUAGUCCACGCCGUAAACGUUGGGCGCUAGGUGUGGGACCCUUCCACGGGUUCCGUGCCGGAGCUAACGCAUUAAGCGCCCCGCCUGGGGAGUACGGCCGCAAGGCUAAAACUCAAAGGAAUUGACGGGGGCCCGCACAAGCGGCGGAGCAU
rnacentral:rRNA from 1 species